UACGUAGGUGGCAAGCGUUUGUCCGGAAUUAUUGGGCGUAAAGCGCGCGCAGGCGGCCUCUUAAGUCUGAUGUGAAAGCCCCCCGGCUCAACCGGGGAGGGCCAUUGGAAACUGGGAGGCUUGAGUAUAGGAGAGAAGAGUGGAAUUCCACGUGUAGCGGUGAGAUGCGUAGAAAUGUGGAGGAACACCAGUGGCGAAGGCGACUCUUUGGCCUAUAACUGACGCUGAGGCGCGAAAGCGUGGGGAGCAAACAGG
rnacentral:rRNA from 1 species